rnacentral:misc_RNA from 1 species
GAUGAAGAACGCAGCGAACGUGCGAAACGUAAUGUGAAUUGCAGAAUUCAGUGAAUCAUCGAAUCUUUGAACGCAUCUUGCGCUCCUUGGUAUUCCGAGGAGCAUGCCUGUUUGAGUGUCAUGAAACCUUCUCAAUUUCAAUCUUGUUUUUGAAAUUGGAUGUGGGUGUUGUUGUGUGUCACAACUCAUCCUAAAUGCAUUAGCGAUCUGCCUGUGAUCACACACAAUGUGAUAAGUCUUAGAGCAUUGUUGCGAUCGAGUCAGGGUUGCUUCCAACUGUCCCACCAAGGACAAAUUUCUAUGUCAUUUGACCUCAGAUCAGGCAGGACUACCCGCUGAACUUAAGCAUAUCAAUAAGCGGAAGGA